CAUUACAGUACAGUACUGCAGUUCAUAAUGCAUUCUGGGUAAAUUUGUUUGAGCGGGAAAAUUUAACAGUAUAUUUUGGUCUUGAUGUAACCUUGCUGUAGCCAUUGCUGUAAUGUGCCAGGUGUACUUGCAAUAAUCAGAGAAAGUGCGCCAACGUCAAAUCACACAGAGGGAGAGAGAGCACAACUCCUGGCUGCAGCUGAAGGAGGAUGAUUGAUUUCUGGCAGUUCGUCUUACCAUUGCUUGUAAGCUGGAUUGGGUAAGAUGGAUCAUCUUUAAAGGCACCAGGAGUUAAGGCAGAUGUGGAGGCACAACGGGUGAUACCAGACACACACCAAGCACAUUAUGUUUGGACAUUCAAUCAUGACAUGAUCCAGGUGGAUGCUGUCCAUUGAGGAAAGAGUUUGUUCAGCGGUUUCUGGAUAGAAUUAAUUCCAAAGAUGGGAAAAAGUGCACAUCCAGACAAGGAGCAAGCAAAAAGACAAGGAACUUGGUGCAGAGAAAAGCUGUGGCCAUUAACCCCUGUGAACAGCUUCAUGCAGUCGCUGAUUGAGUUCGAAUGGACGACUUCAGUAAAGGCCACUGUGGUCUGUCUGCCACAGUUUAAUUUUUAAUUUAUUUUUAGUGUUCAAUGAAAUUCAAGUAGAAUAUUUAAAACUAUGGGCCAGUGUUGUUUUUACCACGGUGAAAUGUUACCUUUUAGUCGAUGAUGGACUUUAAACUGAAAACUUCAAACUAUGGAACAGUGUUCUAUUUGCCAGAGUUAAAUAUGUUACAGCAGGGGUCUCCAAACUUGUUUAUACUUGUUGAUUUUAUUUUAUGUUACUUGAUUAUAUGUUUAUUAUUGUUUAAAAUCUUGUUUUAAAUAUGUUUGUUUCAAUUAAAUGUUUUUUUUAAUAAAAUUUUGAUACAAACAUUGCUUGGAUUGCCUUUUAAUUCAUUAUGUUUUAAUUUAGCAUUUUUACCAUAUUAAUAACUAUAGAUUUAAACCUAAAUCUCUAGCUAUUUUAUAUAAUAUUAUUGUAUUAACUGUAAUAAGUAAUAAAUAGUAUUUAUGGGUCAAUAUAGACAUUACAGUAAAUUACUGUAAAAAUAGACUACUGUAAUAAAAUAUUGUAAAAUUACAGUACAGUACUGCUUUGUAACUAUACAGUACUAGUUUGUGUACUGUAAAAUGGUAUUACAGUACAGUACUGUAAAACCAAAAUACAGUAACUUACUGGCAACCGUGCUGCCAGUACCGUACUGUAA